UGUCUCACCGUCAUGCUUUGUACGUUCAACACAUGCCCUGAGUUCCCACUCUUUCUCAUACAUGUCUGUGGUAAUCUGGGCUUGACAGAGCUCAGGGACCAGUAGGGAAUCAGACACAAUCAUAAAUCAGUAAGGGGACAUACCCAGAGCAAGUAUCUCUGAGAAGGGGACCCAUGAGCUAAGUCCUGAAAUGAGCCAAGUUUGGGGUUGGGAGGAGAGUAUUUCAUAUAAAGAGAAGUGUUACCUAUACAUAAGCAUGACGGUGAGACAACAUAGAAUCAGACUGGCUGAAGCAUGAAGGAUAAGGAGGAAGUAAUUUCAGGUGCAGCUGGAGAGCCAUGCAAUGACCACAUUCAUUCAUUCAUUCAGUAACAAGUAUUUAUUGAGUUGCUUAAGUUUAGUGAUUAAGAUGCUGUUGGAGCCGGGCGCGGUGACUCACGCCUGUAAUCCUAGC